rnacentral:rRNA from 1 species
CCUACGGGAGGCAGCAGUGAGGAAUAUUGGUCAAUGGGCGGGAGCCUGAACCAGCCAAGCCGCGUGAGGGAAGAAGGUACAGCGUAUCGUAAACCUCUUUUGUCAGGGAACAAAGGCGGGGACUAGUCCCCGGAUGAGGGUACCUGAAGAAAAAGCAUCGGCUAACUCCGUGCCAGCAGCCGCGGUAAUACGGAGGAUGCGAGCAUUAUCCGGAUUUAUGGGGGUAAAAGGGUGCGCAGGGGGCAUGUUAAGUCAGCGGUAAAAGCCCGGGGCUCAACCCCGGCGAGCCGUUGAAACUGGCGGGCUGGAGUUGGAGAGAGGUACGCGGAAGGCGCGGUGUAGCGGUGAAAUGCUUAGAUAUCGCGCAGAACCCCGAUUGCGAAGGCAGCGUACCGGCUCCACACUGACGCUGAGGCACGAAAGCGUGGGUAUCGAACAGGAUUAGAUACCCGAGUAGUC